CCUACGGGUGGCUGCAGUGAGGACUAUUGGUCAAUGGGCGCGAGCCUGAACCAGCCAAGUCGCGUGAGGGAUGAAGGUUCUAUGGAUCGUAAACCUCUUUUAUAAGGGAAUAAAGUGUGGGACGUGUCCUAUUUUGUAUGUACCUUAUGAAUAAGGAUCGGCUAACUCCGUGCCAGCAGCCGCGGUAAUACGGAGGAUCCGAGCGUUAUCCGGAUUUAUUGGGUUUAAAGGGUGCGUAGGCGGGCGUUUAAGUCAGCGGUGAAAGUCUGUGGCUCAACCAUAGAAGUGCCUGUGAUACUGGGAGGCUUGAGUAUGUUUGAGGCAGGCGGAAUGCGUGGUGUAGCGGUGAAAUGCUUAGAGAUCACGCAGAACCCCGAUUGCGAAGGCAGCCUGCCAAGCCAUGACUGACGCUGAUGCACGAAAGCGUGGGGAUCAAACAGGAUUAGAUACCCGAGUAGUC
rnacentral:rRNA from 1 species